AUGUACCACUCUUACACUGCGGUUCUGAGCGCGACGUCCGCACCCACCUUACGACUGCCCGCUACGUGUUGGUAGAU
rnacentral:sRNA from 7 species